rnacentral:rRNA from 1 species
GAUGAACGCUGGCGGCGUGCUUAACACAUGCAAGUCGAACGAAGAGGUUCCGUCGGGGGAGACUGAUCGGGGGACGGGUGAGUAAGUAGUGGGUAAGUAGCCUGGCACUGGGGGACAGCAGCUGGAAAGGGCCUCUAAUACAUAAUAAGCACGUAGUACUGCAUGGUGGAUGGGGAUGAGGAGCAAUCCGGGACAGGGUGGGACCGGCUCUGUUUAAGCAGUUGGUAGGGGAAGUGCCUAGCAAAGAGACGAACAGUAGCCGAUCUGAGAGGCUGUACGGCUACAGUUGGACUGCGACACGGCCCAGAAUCCUACGGAAGGGAGCAGUGUAGAGUAUUGCACAAUGGAGGAAACUCUGAUGCAGCGGCGCCGCGUGAGUGAAGAAGUAUUUCGGUAUGUAAAGUCCUCUCAGCAGGGAAGAGAAUGACGGUAACUGACUAAGAAGCACCGGCUAAAUACGUG